UAAUUGGAGAGAAACCCACAGAGCGGUAAAAAUGGCGGAUUUGAAGCAGUCUGUUUGUGCAGUUUGUUUGGAAUAAAAAGGCGAAUAUUCAAAAUCGUUAUCAAAAGUAUAACCAUCUAUAGCAAAUAAGAUCAAAGAGUAUAUUUGGCCUGAGUACAAUAAAGAUUUCAUUGUUUGCCCUGACGUAAUAUGUUCAAAUUGUAGAAGAAACAUAUUUUUGCUGGAGAAGGGAUCAAGUAUUUAUCUGUCAAACUGGAUGAAUAAAGUAUUUCAAGUACAGAGUUUAUUAAAUUCAAAUGAUAAAUACAUAAAUUAUUAAGAAAUAAUUUUUUAUAAAGUAUAUGUUUCUGAAUUAGAUUGACAGGCCCAGAAUAAGACGCAGUACUGAACUUAGUGAUAUUGUUUAACCAUCUCGUGGUAAAACACUAGCUGUAGGAUCUCCAAAAGAAAAUAUAUGUAGUUGCUGCUUUUCUCUCCUUGCAAGAGGAGGUCAUAGCAAUUGUAGUUCUGGUCAGGCUGUUUUAAACCUAAUUAAUUUGUCAGAAAACCUUGAUUCCACAUCGUGUGAACAAGUUGUUUCAGACAUUAUUAAAAACAAGAUGAAGCGAGAAGGCAUAGAGAGAGGGCAAUCCUUUAAAAUAUCUACAGGUGGGAAUCCAUUAACUUUAACCGUUGGAACUAAAAAAAAAUAAAUCUUAUAAAAAGUCUUUCAAUCAGAUAUCAUUCCAAACAGUAAUGGAGUUAACUUCUAUACUGGAAUUAACAAUAAAUCAAACAAAUCAAGUCUGCGUAAGUAUCUAGGGUCGUCUACUGAUAUUGAGAACAAUGUAGUUAGCAUGAUGACAUCAUUGCAACAAGAAGUUGAGUCUGAGUAUAAAAUAGAGCAAGAUUUUAUUUGGAAUG